UUCCCUGCGUAGUGCGUUAAGACUGAAUUUUUAGAACCUACAAGUUAUGGAUAAGGGAGCUUUAAGUUCUCUGGAUGUGGCGUGUAUGCUUGCAUUUAUGUAAGAAACCCAUAAGCAUUCAGGCGGGCACCCACCUGUGUGAGUACAGGUCCAUUAAAAAUUCAUUACUAGAACGGCUUAAACGUGGGG
rnacentral:other from 1 species